UUAAGAAAGAAUUUAAUUUUGGUUCCGAUUGAACGUUUUUCAGUAGUUUUAAGACAUGCAAAUCAUUGUUUCUGACAGUAUAAAAUUAUUUAAAAAUUAAUAAAAUGAUUAUUAAAUAAAUGAAUAUAAUAUGAAAUAAGGUGUAGAGGUGAGGAUAGUAAAUAAGAUACCCUGUAGUCUUCAUAAAUAGAAGAUAUUAUUCUAAGUAAAUUAUUUAAAUUUAUUACUAGUAUUUUUAAAUUAAUUUGCUUGCAUUAUAUAAUAUUAUAAUUGUUUAUCAAUUAUAUAAAAUUAUAAUUGUUUUUCAUUAAUUGUACAAAUUUUAAAUAAAAAAUGACUAAAGCAAAUAUUAUUUAAAUAACAAUAAUGUAAAAUAAAUGAAUAAAAUAAAAAAGCUAUUUUUAUUAAAAAAAGGAAAUUUUCUGCUAUAGGAUUCUAUUUAUUUUGAUUAGGUAGUUGGUAUGGGUAAAGGCCUACCAAGCCGACAAUCAAUAGCCAUGCUUGACAGAGCAGAUGGCCACAUUGGGACUGAAAUCUCCCAAGUAGUUUUAUACUACCAGCAGUCAAGAAUAUUAGUCAAUGCUCGAAAGAGUGAACUAGCUAACUGAAAUCGCAAAUGUGUCAUUUGUGAUAAAGUAAGAGAAAAUUAUGAUAUUAUCUUACUAAUAGUGCUGUCCAAAACUGGUGCCAGAAGACUCGGUAAGGCCAGAGGCGCAAACGUUAGUCGUCCUAAUCAGGCGUAAAGGGUUUGUAGGCUGCUUUGAAAAUCUUAAAAUUCUAAUAGCUAUUAAAUGAUAAGAUGAAUUGAAGCUAGAAUCUAAUAGAGGGUAAAACAAAUAAUAUUUAAAGUAAGGAUUAAAUCUUAAGAGUUUAGAUGGAAUACUAACGGUUAAAACUUUUAUCUAUUAACAGAUUGACGCUGAGAAACGAAAGGGAGGUAAGGAAACAGGAUUAGAUACCCAAUUACUGCUCCCUGUCAACGAUGAAUGGUGGUUGCUAGUUAUAACUACUAAGCUAUAAUGAGACAAAUAUAGCACAAAAUGUAGUUAAAAAGACUGGUAGCGAUGCUAACGCGUUAACCAUUCCGCCUUGUGAGUACGACUGCAAAGUUGAAAACAAAAAAAUUAGUCGGUUUCGAAGCAAACGAAGUGAAGCAUGUUAUUUAAUACGAUAAUCCGCGUAAAAUCUUACCAGUUCUUGCAUACAAACUUUUGUUUUUUAUAAUUUUAAACUGAUUAUUUAAAAAAAAGGAGUGUUUUAAAUUUAUUUACAAAUACUUAGAUACAGGUGUUGCAUGGCUGUCGUCAGUCCGUGCUGUGAGAAGUUUGGUUAAAUCCGCUAACGGACAAAAUCCCUGUUGUUAAUUUAUACUUAACAAUUAAUGAUACUGAUAGAGCAUCAUUUGGGGCGAAGACAAGUCGUUAUGGCCCUCAUGAACUGGGCUAUAGACGUGCCACAAAGACUUUAACAAAGUGAAGCAAUACUGUUCCCUUAAUAUUAUUCUAAAGAAUUUUAUUAGAUUUUAAUAACAACAAUUAAAUUAUAGGGAAUUUAAGGAGGAGCUAAUCAUUAAAAAAAGUCAAACUAUUAAAUAUAAUCGGAUUGUCAUCUGAAACUCGGGGACAUGAAGAAGGAAUUUCGAGUAAUCGUUGAUCACUACGCAACGGUGAAGCUAGCAUUCGGAAUGAACUAACCGUCUGUCGCUGGGAAGGAGUUUAACUUGGUGGAAACUGGAAUGAAGUUUUACCUUUUACAAUCUUAAAAUUUUUUAUUUAGUAUCUUUGAUAUUUUAUUUAAAAUUUAUUAGUUUUUUUUCGUUAGAAUUUUUAAUUUAUUGCUUAAUUAAACAGUAUUAUUUUUGUUUAAAGAAUAUAUACUUGUCUAACAAUGUUAAAUUUAAAACGAUUUUGUUAAGCAAAUUAGUUCUAGUUAAACCAAUUAAAUAACAUCUCAAAAGUCAUAGCAAGGUAGCCGUACUGGAAAGUGCUGCUGUAAAAUAAAACGA
rnacentral:rRNA from 1 species